rnacentral:rRNA from 1 species
GGUGGUUCGUCACGUCGGAUGUGAAAAUCUGGGGCUUAACCCCAGACCUGCAUUCGAUACGGGCGAGCUUGAGUAUGGUAGGGGAGUCUGGAAUUCCUGGUGUAGCGGUGGAAUGCGCAGAUAUCAGGAGGAACACCAAUGGCGAAGGCAGGACUCUGGGCCAUUACUGACACUGAGGAGCGAAAGCGUGGGGAGCGAACAGGAUUAGAUACCCUGGUAGUCACGCCGUAAACGGUGGGCACUAGUUGUGGGGACCUUCCACGGUCUCCGCGACGCAGCUAACGCAUUAAGUGCCCCGCCUGGGGAGUACGAUCGCAAGAUUAAAACUCAAAGGAAUUGACGGGGCCCCGCACAAGCAGCGGAGCAUGCGGCUUAAUUCGACGCAACGCGAAGAACCUUACCAAGGCUUGACAUAUACAGGAAUAUGGCAGAGAUGUCAUAGCCGCAAGGUCUGUAUACAGGUGGUGCAUGGUUGUCGUCAGCUCGUGUCGUGAGAUGUUGGGUUAAGUCCCGCAACGAGCGCAACCCUCGUUCUGUGUUGCCAGCAUUUAGUUGGGGACUCACAGGAGACUGCCGGGGUUAACUCGGAGGAAGGUGGGGAUGACGUCAAAUCAUCAUGCCCCUUAUGUCUUGGGCUGCACGCAUGCUACAAUGGCUGGUACAAACGGCUGCAAUACCGCAAGGUGGAGCGAAUCCGAGAAAGCCAGUCUCAGUUCGGAUUGGGGUCUGCAACUCGACCCCAUGAAGUCGGAGUUGCUAGUAAUCGUAGAUCAGCAACGUUACGGUGAAUACGUUCCCGGGGCU